ACAGCUCUUUAAACAAAGCAUAGAAUGAAGGAAGAAGUGUAUUAUAAUCCACUACAAAUAGUAUAUAAACCAAAAAAUUCAUAGCACUUUGCUGACCUAUGAACUACUUAGGAAUGGUAUCUUUAUUCUUAUCGGCUCAACUAAGCCCUUUGCUAUUUGCUAGAGAGCAGUACUGUACAAAAGAAACAAAACGGUAUCUGGUAUCACUCAUUUUGAAGCAGUUUACUAUAGAGGUAUAUUGUCAAGAACAACAUCUUUUUAUGAUAAAGAAUAGGUAACAUUUUCAAUAAUAAUGAAUGAAAACCCAAAAUAAUCAUGGUUUAAUGGGGAAAGGAAAAAGGUAAAAGUGAAGAUGCUGCAACUUCAUAGUAAUAGCUAGAUAAAUUAUCAGUAAGAAUGUAAUUGAAACUUAGGGGACAAGGAAAAGAGAAAAAGAGGGAUAGUUAGGAGAAGAAAUCCACAGCCCUUUAAUUGCCAUUUUGGAUGGACAAUGUAAUUUGUUGUGGAAUAAAAACU
rnacentral:misc_RNA from 1 species